rnacentral:lncRNA from 1 species
CAGAGCUGAGUGAAUAGUAAGUUAUAACUCAGAAGCAACAUUCAGAGAAGGCUACACCUUGUGAAGGAUGUCUUCAGAGUUCACAAAAAGAACAUUGUGGGGGUGAAAGUUUUAGCUUAGAAGGCAAAAGAUUUCAAAAAUAUACAGAAUCAAAAUGAUGUUAAAAAUAAACAUGGAGGCAUUCCACUACUGUUUAUGAAAGAAUAGUUCAUGAGCAAACUGACCUACUGAGAACAACUAUAAAAGCUAUAAAUGGACAAGAAACAGCUCUUUGGAGGCACGCGUGGACACCCACAUCCACACCCACCCAGCCCCCCAAGACAAAGCAGCACAACUUCAGGAAACAAAUUGGGAGACAACAGGAAUAAUACAUUGAGAUGAACCCCAUAUUUGCUACUGUUUUCUUUCCCUGUAUCAAUAUAUUUUAGAUUAGUAAUGGGGCAUAGAGGCCAAGAAAAAGGGAUACCCUCAAAAUUUGUGACAAGCUCACUAGGCUGCCAAAAGGAAUGAUGUUGGGAAAUGUCUCAGACUUUGAAUUGAUAAUCUUGAAGGACUACACUCUAGGAGUAAGGGCAAGCUUAAUACAGACAAGUCCUCAAAACACUAGAAGCAGAACCUAGAAUCAAUGAAACCUCUGUUUAGAUCCAGGUUAUAUGCCUGUACUUUAUAUGACCACCAGAAAAAGUAUCCUCUUUAAAGAAAUAUAGCAUC